CCCCUUAUCUUGCCUCUUUUCCUCCCUUUCGCUUAACCUCACCUCUUCUUGCCCUGGAAGUGUCUGAGCAGAGUAACUUAGGGGGCAAUGGCAGUUCCUCUCAUCCUUGUUUUCUUUCCCACUGAAGGGUGUGUUUCAGGGAGUCUUCAGUGUUAGACCUGGCAUAUCCUGGUGGCUGCGAGGCCGAGGGAGGGUGCCAGGGCCCUGAGGUGGGGUGCGAGGCAUUUAACCCGCUGUACUGGUUGGUUUUUGCUUCCACUCUGAACUGCUGGAAGUUUCCUUAUGGCCCAGGUCCAGGUCCUAUAUGGCUGGUACACCUGCCAGUGACAGCCUCACCUGUAACUUGUUUUCCUUCUGGAAUAGCAGGUCCUAAAACUGUGCUGUUUUACGUGAGCGUUAGUGCCAGCACAAAUCUUCCUGUCUUCAGGCUGCUGCAAGUCACGGAUAGAGCCUGUAGGACCAGAGGUCAGUAAGGGUCUAACGUCCAUUAAAUCUAAAGAAGAGGAGAGAAGAGAGCUAAAAUAAAUACAUAUGGUGACUAGCUGAAAAGAGAACACUACUCUGAAGUAUGUCCACCACGUGUUCUCUAAUGGAAAUAAAACUGGCCAGCCCAGACUUCUUAAGCUUUUUGAUGCACUAUUUUAGGACCUAGCAGAGAUUGGAGUGCAUUUCCUCUUCUCAAGACUAUACAACUCCAGUUUGAGUUGGGCAGUAGAAAAAUCCACCACCACCACCUCCCUUCUUUGCAUGAAGAGAAAAACCCCAAAUCAUUUUCCCAAAUAUUGCCAAACCUGGAGUUACUGGAAGCAGCUGAGUGGUUGGACAAGCUGGAGCUGGAUUUACAAGCAGAGUACAAGUGAGCUUAUUGGCACAGGACUCCCUACUCCGUGGAGCAUUCGUAUGAAUGUCUGCUGCAGUCCUUGACAUCAGUCUUUCAUGUUAAGGUACUUGCAGUUAAGUGGCUCAUUAAUGGUGCAUCUUUUGCAUCAUCAGAUUCCCUCAGGAGUUGUCUCAAAUUUCCCCUGAUCUUUGUUGGCUUAUGUACAGCAAUAUUCUUCUAAGUCCUUGGCAUCUGUCCCCUGUAUGUAAUUAUGUAGAAAUUAAUUUCAGUGUAUCUGAAUAGCUCAUUUUCUAAGAUGAACGUAAAGUCUGCUUGCGUUAUUAUUAAUGAAGCACCUAGAUUUAUCAAAUGACUUUGCAAGAAAUGGACAGAUAAAUUUCAAUGUGUAAAUAAUACACCGAUAUUUUAGCUGUCUGGUCUACAAUCAGAUGUUGGAAUGCAAAGGCUUUCUUUUUCUUCUGUGAAGACAGCAAACGUUACAUGUUUUCCACUAUGUAAAUGACCUUAGUUACCAUUGAUCAAAAUUGCUCAUCAGCUGUAAAACACACUUCUAGAUGUACAUCUCUAGGGCAGCCCAAAGUCAAAUGUGCGACAGGCUUCUAGCAGACAUCUCAUGGAACCCUGUUCCACCAGCAUGUGUCUUUGUUGGAGCUGAACUCUGGUCCGUGUUCUCUUCCUGUGAUUCAGGGUGUGAUACGUGUGGGCUGGGGCUAGGAACCAUGAUGCCUUCACACUAGAGGCAAAACAGGAGCAGGAAGGCAAUGCAAAUAUGCAACCCAAACAGAUGCACGGCUUUUCCCCACAGAUCCUUGCACUUUGAGGGUUUCUUGAAAAGCUGCAACAAGUCUGUGUAAAUGAAACAUCCAGUCAAAUCCACAUGAAGGUUUCGCCAGAGCCAGAUUUUUCCCUGUGGGCUAUACUGUCAUCUCCCACUUGAGGAAAUGUGAAUUUCUAGUGGUAUAUGAUGUUACUAAGGUAAAAACUGGAGCCGUACUAAAAUGAUAGACUGUCCUCUCUAUGGAGAGCAGAACAGAAAGUGGAUCAGAGAACGUGCUAGAAAUCAGCAGUAUGACUGCUUCACAAGCAGCUAGUUCUGCAGUUGAGGCUGAAAAUACAGAAUCCAUAAAGUGCAUAUAUAAGAAUGCACACUUCCUGCAGGUUCUGUUGAUAACUUUCUGAUCACUGUCUUCUUGUUGUUUUCCAUGCAGCAGAGAGUUAGCCAUGUUAACAGAAUGUGAGCUGGAUGGUUUUAAAAGCUGUCUCCCCAUUAGAAUAACAGGGUUCACAUGGACACAGUCUGCCACCUUUUUGGAAAGGAGGGGCAGCCAGCAGCAGAGUUACAACAGCCUGAGUGUUAAGGUAUGGAAUCUGGAUACUUCAAACCCGUGGGGCCAAAUGUGCUAUCUCUGAGUGUGCUGAAAGAGUAGGCUGAUGUGACUGCAAGGCAGCUGUCUGCAGUCUAUGAAAAGUAAUGUUGAUUGGGAGAAAUUGUUUACAACUGGGGAAAAAAAAAAGCUAAGGUUGCAUCAAUGUUUAAGAAAGAAAAGAACAGUGACCUGGGGAGCUACAGGUUGCUCAGCUUCAUCCCAGUCCCUAGGAAAGCCAUGGGCUCAUCCUCUUGUGUUUUAUUUUGAAAGAUUUUAAGAGCAAGAGGAUAAUGAAGGGCAGUUAUUGCAUUUGUUGAGAGCAAAUUGUGCUUGUCCAUUGGAUUGCCUUCUGUGAUGAAAUGACUGUUUGUGUGGUUGAGGGGAGAGCAAUGAACACAAACUGCCUAGAAGAGCUUUUGACAGGAUCUCCCAUGACAUUCUCGUUUGGAAGCUGGGGAAAGCUAUGGGCCUGACAAACAGGCAGCCAGGUGGACUGAAAAUCACCAGAACUGCCAGGAUCGAAGGGUAGUGAUGACAAUCCAGAUGUCCACCUCACACCAAGAUGAGAGUGAAGCACCCCAGGGGUUGUUUCUGGAACUGGUAUUGUUCAUUAUCUUCAUCAGCAACUUGGAUGAUGAAGCACCCUUAGCAAAUAUGCAGUUUGCGCUAAAUUUGGGGGCUGGGGCAGUGGUUGUCUUGAGAAACUUUUAGGGAUGGAGGCAGUAGAAAGCUAAUGCAGUUCCACAAGAGAGAUGCCAUGCUCAGUAUCUAAGGUAACACCAAUAUCAGCACAGGCUGGGUGAAUGGCCUUGUUGCUGAAAAGGCCAAGGGUUUUGGUGGGUAUGGGACUGAAUAUGGGCCAGAGGGUGCUCUCAUCACGCAUGGGGCUGCAUGAGGAGGCAAACAGUCAAGGGAAGUGCUGAGGAGGCUGCUCCUGCACACAUUUUGCAAUGUGUGAUCUUAUGUGAAGCUGUGGAAAACUUUUAAAUAGGUUGAGCUUCCUUACUAGUCUGAGAAUCAAAAGGGGACACUGGUAAAGCAAUGUGUGGGACCUUUGUAGGGCCAGUUCAAUAAGCAGCUUAAAAAACUU